UCCCUGGUAGUAUAUCGGAUUAGUACACGCGCCUGUCAAUCUCUGCGGACGCGCGAGAGCGGGAUUCGACUCCCCGCCAGGGAG
rnacentral:tRNA from 1 species